rnacentral:rRNA from 1 species
GACAGAGGAUGCAAGCGUUAUCCGGAAUGAUUGGGCGUAAAGCGUCUGUAGGUGGCUUUUUAAGUCCGCCGUCAAAUCCCAGGGCUCAACCCUGGACAGGCGGUGGAAACUACCAAGCUGGAGUACGGUAGGGGCAGAGGGAAUUUCCGGUGGAGCGGUGAAAUGCGUAGAGAUCGGAAGGAACACCUGUGGCGAAAGCGGCUCACUGGACCAUUACUGACGCUGAGGCACGAAAGCUAGGGGAGCAAACAGG